UGGGGUUGUAGAUCAGUGGUAGUGCGCCUGUCUAGCAUGUGGGAGGCACUGGGUUCGAUCCUCAGCAGUAA
rnacentral:tRNA from 1 species